rnacentral:rRNA from 1 species
CAUUACUGAGUUUACGCUCUACAACCCUUUGUGAACAUACCUAUAACUGUUGCUUCGGCGGGUAGGGUCUCCGCGACCCUCCCGGCCUCCCGCCUCCGGGCGGGUCGGCGCCCGCCGGAGGAUAACCAAACUCUGAUUUAACGACGUUUCUUCUGAGUGGUACAAGCAAAUAAUCAAAACUUUUAACAACGGAUCUCUUGGUUCUGGCAUCGAUGAAGAACGCAGCGAAAUGCGAUAAGUAAUGUGAAUUGCAGAAUUCAGUGAAUCAUCGAAUCUUUGAACGCACAUUGCGCCCGCCAGCAUUCUGGCGGGCAUGCCUGUUCGAGCGUCAUUUCAACCCUCAAGCUCUGCUUGGUGUUGGGGCCCUACAGCUGAUGUAGGCCCUCAAAGGUAGUGGCGGACCCUCCCGGAGCCUCCUUUGCGUAGUAACUUUACGUCUCGCACUGGGAUCCGGAGGGACUCUUGCCGUAAAACCCCCAAUUUUCCAAAGGU